GACGAACGCUGGCGGCGUGCUUAACACAUGCAAGUCGAACGGGCCUUGUCCCCUUUUUUUUGGGGGUGGGGUUAGUGGCGAACGGGUGAGUAACACGUGAGUAACCUGCCCCUCACUUCUGGAUAACCGCUUGAAAGGGUGGCUAAUACGGGGUGUUCUGGCCUGCUCGCAUGGGUGGGUUUGGAAAGAUUCGACCGGUUUUGGUUGUUUUGGUGGGGGAUGGGCGCGCGGCCUAUCAGCUUGUUGGUGGGGUGAUGGCCUGCCAAGGCUUUGACGGGUAGCCGGCCUGAGAGGGUGGGCGGUCACAAUGGGACUGAGACACGGCCCAGACUCCUACGGGAGGCAGCAGUGGGGAAUAUUGCACAAUGGGCGCAAGCCUGAUGCAGCGACGCCGCGUGAGGGAUGGAGGCCUUCGGGUUGUGAACCUCUUUCGCCAGUGAAGAAGGUCCUGCUCUUUGUGGUGGGGUUGACGGUAGCUGGGUUAAUGAAGCGCCGGCUAACUACGUG
rnacentral:rRNA from 1 species